rnacentral:rRNA from 1 species
UACGGAGGGUGCAAGCGUUAUCCGGAUUUACUGGGUUUAAAGGGUGCGUAGGUGGGUCUGUAAGUCAGUGGUGAAAUCUCCGAGCUUAACUUGGAAACUGCCGUUGAUACUAUCUGCCUUGAAUAUUGUGGAGGUGAGCGGAAUAUGUCAUGUAGCGGUGAAAUGCUUAGAUAUGACAUAGAACACCAAUUGCGAAGGCAGCUCGCUACACAUAUAUUGACUCUGAGGCACGAAAGCGUGGGGAUCAAACAGG